UUCUAGUAACGUUUUGCUAAUUUCUCGGUAUUUUAGGUUCAUUUCUUGUCUAAAGUUGUUCUUUGCCUUCUUCGUGUUUUCCAGGUUUCUUAAAGGAAAUCAAGCGAACUUGCUCAGGUUCUCAAAGGGUUAAUCAUCCCACGACCCCUCAGAGUUAUCUGCAGCUUCAAAGGUAAAACACCGCUCAUUUCCUUAUCAGUUAUCAGAAAUUAAACCAGUUUACUCGGGUUUAAAAAUGUAAAUGCUUGUGUUAAGCACAAAGAAAUCUACUUCUGUAGAUCCAGGAUUCAAAGGGUUAAUAAGAGAAGCAAAAACAUGUGGGAAACAGCUUUACCGGAGUCUACCGGCAGGUGGAGACAGGUGAGGACAGGUGAGGACAGGUGAGGUCUGCAUCCUGUGUCAAACAGUGAGACAGCGGACAGAGACCGUGAGGUGAAGCGUGAAGCUCGUCGGUCAGAAGUUUCACACAAUUUAACCAUCAAUCCACCAUCAGCGAACCACAAAGAGUUAAAAACACCGUUUCAACGGCCGGAGAGUUUGCGCGCGGCUAACGAUGUCAUCUCCGGUGUUUUGUUUGAGACGAGAUGGACUUCUGUCUCUGCGCGGGGACAUUCAAGACAACAUGGACACUUCAUCUGCAGAGACAGACGGUGGACUUUGACAGCAAAUAACAAAAAAUCCAAGACAUGACCUGGGAAAAGUUCUGGAUUUUGGUUCGUGAUCAUUCAUUUUCGGCGUGGCCUCAUCGCGGAGCUGAAACCGAGCUGAAACUUGGCGGUCUGAUCAGUGAUCGGCAGCGUGAACUGCAGUCAGAGGAGCUGUUUGAGAGCACGUGUUUGAAGCAGCUGCUCAUCACAGCGCCGGCGCUCUCACUCUGCGGUUAAUUUCCAUCAGUUUUAAGUGACGCCUUAAAUUUCUCAGCAGUAAUAGAGCUUCGUCCAGCUGCUCCCGGUGAGAACAAACUCUCCUACUGUAAAUUUUACUGUCUGUCUACUUCACUCAAACACUGUAGUGUGAAUUUGAGUUGCGCCGAGUGUUCGAGCUCCUCUGUCGGCAAAAACCACAACAAAAAGAGGAUUGUGAUUGAAAUCUGAUGGAUUGUUUUAGGGAAAUAAGAGUUAAGUUCUUCAGUGCAGCAGCUGGUAAAAGAUUUCUGGCUGAUGCCAACAAAAAACCUUAAAUUUUAAGAUUAGUUUAUUGAUCUUAAUGACGAUGCUUCAUCUCGGGCGCUAAAGGAAUCAUCUACUCAGUGGAGCUGCUCAGAAGCCAAACAUGUAUUUAACCUUGAUUUAAAAAAAAAAAGGUUUCGACCUUGUAAAGCAUCUUUGAGCUCAUUUAAAAGCGCCAUAUAAAAUGUAUUUAUUGUUUCAUUAUUAGGUUUUAUUGGCCUUGAGAUGAUUGUGUGUAACGAUAUGAAUGUGGCAGCACAGCCAACACAGUUCAGUGAUGUUUAAGAGGACGAAUGACUCAAUGUGAAAUCUUUAAUCUCUGCCAGACUUUGGUAAGGAAUGAACUGCAUAAACGAAAAAAAAAUAUAUAUUCUCUGGAAUAAAUAAAUAAGAUACUUUCAGGAA